rnacentral:lncRNA from 1 species
GUAUUACUACUACUCAGCAAGAUUCUGGUUUUACUUCUCAUCUUGGGAGUUACCACCAAGACGUUAGGUAUGGCUGUGUGACCCACUUUGGCCAAUGAAAUGUGAACAGAAAUGGCAUAUGUCACUUGUGGACAAAAACAUUUAAGCAAGAAUUUCCCUUGCUGUCUUCCUUGACUGGAGCGACCAUGGAAGCCUGUGUUGAGAUGAAGAGGCUGCCAACAGAUCAAAACACUUGAAAACUUGAGCAGCCACAUGGACUACAACUGUGCUGGAGACUUGCCUGGACCCACAGCAGGCUUGGGGCAACUGUAGCUAUGAUUCCAG